rnacentral:rRNA from 1 species
GUGAGGAAUAUUGCGCAAUGGAGGCAACUCUGACGCAGCCAUGCCGCGUGCAGGAAGAAGGCGCUACGCGUUGUAAACUGCUUUUAACCGGGAAGAAACCCCAGGACGUGUCCUGGGUUGACGGUACCGGAGGAAUAAGCACCGGCUAACUUCGUGCCAGCAGCCGCGGUAAUCCGAAGGGUGCAAGCGUUAUCCGGAUUCAUUGGGUUUAAAGGGUGCGUAGGCGGAGCGUUAAGUCAGUGGUGAAAUCCUGCAGCUUAACUGUAGACUUGCCAUUGAUACUGGCGCUCUUGAGUGCGCUUGAAGUGGGCGGAAUGUGCCGUGUAGCGGUGAAAUGCUUAGAUAUGGCACAGAACACCAAUUGCGAAGGCAGCUCACUAAGGCGAUACUGACGCUGAGGCACGAAAGCGUGGGGAUCGAACAGGAUUAGAUACCCCUGUAGUCC